UGAGGGAUAUUGCGCAAUGGGGGAAACCCUGACGCAGCGACGCCGCGUGGGUGAUGAAGGCCUUCGGGUCGUAAAACCCUUUUGCCACUGACGAGGAGGGACGGUAGGUGGCGAAUAAGCCUCGGCUAACUACGUGCCAGCAGCCGCGGUAAAACGUAGGAGGCAAGCGUUAUCCGGAGUUACUGGGCGUAAAGCGCGCGCAGGCGGUUCGUUAAGUGGGGCGUGAAAGCCCCGCGCUAAACGCGGGGAGGACGAACCAUACUGAUGGACUGGAGUGGAGCAGAGGGACAUGGAAUUCCGGGUGUAGCGGUGAAAUGUGCAGAUAUCCGGAGGAACAGCAGAGGUGAAAACGGUGUCCUGGGCUCACACUGACGCUGAGGCGCGAAAGCGUGGGGAGCGAACG
rnacentral:rRNA from 1 species